GAUGAACGCUGGCGGCGUGCCUAAUACAUGCAAGUCGAGCGAACAGACGAGGAGCUUGCUUCUCUGACGUUAGCGGCGGACGGGUGAGUAACACGUGGAUAACCUACCUAUAAGACUGGGAUAACUUCGGGAAACCGGAGCUAAUACCGGAUAAUAUAUUGAACCGCAUGGUUCAAUAGUGAAAGACGGUCUUGCUGUCACUUAUAGAUGGAUCCGCGCCGCAUUAGCUAGUUGGUAAGGUAACGGCUUACCAAGGCAACGAUGCGUAGCCGACCUGAGAGGGUGAUCGGCCACACUGGAACUGAGACACGGUCCAGACUCCUACGGGAGGCAGCAGUAGGGAAUCUUCCGCAAUGGGCGAAAGCUUGACGGAGCAACGCCGCGUGAGUGAUGAGGGUCUUCGGAUCGUAAAACUCUGUUAUUAGGGAAGAACAAAUGUGUAAGUAACUAUGCACAUCUUGACGGUACCUAAUCAGAAAGCCACGGCUAACUACGUG
rnacentral:rRNA from 1 species